ANGGGGGUAGCAAUUACCUUCAGUGGCGAACGGGUGCGUUAACACGUGAAGAAUUUGUCCAACGGCGGGGGAUAGCCGGCCCAACGGCCGGGUAAUACCGCGUACGACCUUUGGGGGGCAUCCCCCGGAGGUGAAAGCCGCAAGGCGCCGAUGGAGAACUUCGCGGCCUAUCAGCUAGUUGGUGAGGUCAUGGCUCACCAAGGCGACGACGGGUAGCUGGUCCGAGAGGAUGACCAGCCACAUUGGGACUGAGACACGGCCCAGACUCCUACGGGAGGCAGCAGUGGGGAAUAUUGCGCAAUGGGCGAAAGCCUGACGCAGCGACGCCGCGUGUGGGAUGACGGCCUUCGGGUUGUAGACCACUGUCGCGAGGGACGAAACAAAUGACGGUACCUCGAAAGGAAGCACCGGCUAACUCUGUGCCAGCAGCCGCGGUAAUACAGAGGGUGCGAGCGUUAAUCGGAAUUACUGGGCGUAAAGCGCACGUAGGUGGUUCUGUAAGUCGGAUGUGAAAGCCCCGGGCUUAACCUGGGAACUGCAUUCGAGACUGCAGUACUGGAGUAUUGGGGAGAGGGAAGCGGAAUUUCCGGGUAGCGGUGAAAUGCGUAGAUAUCGGAAAGGAACAUCAGUGGCGGAAGCGGCUUCC
rnacentral:rRNA from 1 species